rnacentral:rRNA from 1 species
UGUUGGGUAGGGGAGCGUUCUGUAAGCCUGUGAAGGUGGCCUGUGAGGGUUGCUGGAGGUAUCAGAAGUGCGAAUGCUGACAUAAGUAACGAUAAAGCGGGUGAAAAGCCCGCUCGCCGGAAGACCAAGGGUUCCUGUCCAACGUUAAUCGGGGCAGGGUGAGUCGACCCCUAAGGCGAGGCCGAAAGGCGUAGUCGAUGGGAAACGGGUUAAUAUUCCCGUACUUGGUGUUACUGCGAAGGGGGGACGGAGAAGGCUAUGUUGGCCGGGCGACGGUUGUCCCGGUUUAAGCGUGUAGGUGUGUGUUCCAGGUAAAUCCGGUUCACUUUAACACUGAGGCGUGACGACGAGGCACUACGGUGCUGAAGCAACAAAUGCCCUGCUUCCAGGAAAAGCCUCUAAGCAUCAGGUAACAUCAAAUCGUACCCCAAACCGACACAGGUGGUCAGGUAGAGAAUACCAAGGCGCUUGAGAGAACUCGGGUGAAGGAACUAGGCAAAAUGGUGCCGUAACUUCGGGAGAAGGCACGCUGACACGUAGGUGAAGUGAUUUACUCAUGGAGCUGAAGUCAGUCGAAGAUACCAGCUGGCUGCAACUGUUUAUUAAAAACACAGCACUGUGCAAACACGAAAGUGGACGUAUACGGUGUGACGCCUGCCCGGUGCCGGAAGGUUAAUUGAUGGGGUCAGCGCAAGCGAAGCUCCUGAUCGAAGCCCCGGUAAACGGCGGCCGUAACUAUAACGGUCCUAAGGUAGCGAAAUUCCUUGUCGGGUAAGUUCCGACCUGCACGAAUGGCGUAAUGAUGGCCAGGCUGUCUCCACCCGAGACUCAGUGAAAUUGAACUCGCUGUGAAGAUGCAGUGUACCCGCGGCAAGACGGAAAGACCCCGUGAACCUUUACUAUAGCUUGACACUGAACAUUGAGCCUUGAUGUGUAGGAUAGGUGGGAGGCUUUGAAGCGUGGACGCCAGUCUGCGUGGAGCCGACCUUGAAAUACCACCCUUUAAUGUUUGAUGUUCUAACGUGGACCCGUGAUCCGGGUUGCGGACAGUGUCUGGUGGGUAGUUUGACUGGGGCGGUCUCCUCCUAAAGAGUAACGGAGGAGCACGAAGGUUGGCUAAUCCUGGUCGGACAUCAGGAGGUUAGUGCAAUGGCAUAAGCCAGCUUGACUGCGAGCGUGACGGCGCGAGCAGGUGCGAAAGCAGGUCAUAGUGAUCCGGUGGUUCUGAAUGGAAGGGCCAUCGCUCAACGGAUAAAAGGUACUCCGGGGAUAACAGGCUGAUACCGCCCAAGAGUUCAUAUCGACGGCGGUGUUUGGCACCUCGAUGUCGGCUCAUCACAUCCUGGGGCUGAAGUAGGUCCCAAGGGUAUGGCUGUUCGCCAUUUAAAGUGGUACGCGAGCUGGGUUUAGAACGUCGUGAGACAGUUCGGUCCCUAUCUGCCGUGGGCGCUGGAGAACUGAGGGGGGCUGCUCCUAGUACGAGAGGACCGGAGUGGACGCAUCACUGGUGUUCGGGUUGUCAUGCCAAUGGCACUGCCCGGUAGCUAAAUGCGGAAGAGAUAAGUGCUGAAAGCAUCUAAGCACGAAACUUGCCCCGAGAUGAGUUCUCCCUGAGACUUUAGGUCUCCUGAAGGAACGUUGAAGACGACGACGUUGAUAGGCCGGGUGUGUAAGCGCAGCGAUGCGUUGAGCUAACCGGUACUAAUGAACCGUGAGGCUUAACCUUACAAC